rnacentral:lncRNA from 1 species
UGUUCCGUCACUUAUUGUCAAAGAGAUUAUGCAAAUGCAUCUCUGGCCCUAUAUGAAGCUUCACUUUCUUCAAAGCAAUAUGACAGAUGUGCUUAUGGCUGGCAGCCAUACCCUUAAGCCAAAGUAGUGAUUGUUCCUGCCUGAACUGAUUGGCCUUUUACCUGUAUUGUGUUUUCACAGGUUUUUAAAAGGGAGUUGGAGCCAAGUCUUAAGCAGGAGGACAAAUGGGCAUCAGCAGCAGAUGAAGAUGAUUCAUCUAUGGAUUUUGACCUAUAAGAAGGUGAAUCCUGAAGCUGGAUGGCAUGCAUCAAAAUGAUCUGCACUGCAUUUCUACUAAACUUGCAAGAUUACUGGAGAUUUGACCCAGGGAAAAAUAUGCACUUCGACUAUGGAAUUUGGAUAAUUUCAGAGACACAUCUCAGCAGAGCCAGUAGCUCAAGUGGGACCAUACUUUGAUACACAUACUCAUUUUGCAGUUCCACUUAAUUUUACAAGGAGUCCAGUAGAAAUAAAAGGACAUGGUUUUGGCA